AUUGAACGCUGGCGGCAUGCCUUACACAUGCAAGUCGAACGGUAGCACGGGAGCAAUCCUGGUGGCGAGUGGCGAACGGGUGAGUAAUAUAUCGGAACGUGCCCAGUCGUGGGGAUAACGUAGCGAAAGCUACGCUAAUACCGCAUACGAUCUAUGGAUGAAAGCGGGGGAUCGCAAGACCUCGCGCGAUUGGAGCGGCCGAUAUCAGAUUAGGUAGUUGGUGAGGUAAAGGCUCACCAAGCCGACGAUCUGUAGCUGGUCUGAGAGGACGACCAGCCACACUGGGACUGAGACACGGCCCAGACUCCUACGGGAGGCAGCAGUGGGGAAUUUUGGACAAUGGACGCAAGUCUGAUCCAGCCAUUCCGCGUGCAGGAUGAAGGCCCUCGGGUUGUAAACUGCUUUUGUACGGAACGAAAGGUUUAGUCGUUUAAUAACGAUGAGCUCAUGACGGUACCGUAAGAAUAAGCACCGGCUAAC
rnacentral:rRNA from 1 species